rnacentral:rRNA from 1 species
CGGUAAUACAGAGGGUGCUAGCGUUAAUCGGAUUUACUGGGCGUAAAGCGUGCGUAGGCGGUUUGAUAAGUCGGUUGUGAAAGCCCCGGGCUCAACCUGGGAAUUGCGGCCGAUACUGUCAGACUAGAAAACGGUAGAGGGAGGCGGAACUCCAGGUGUAGCGGUGAAAUGCGUAGAGAUCUGGAGGAAUACCGAUGGCGAAGGCAGC